GCCAGCAGCAUACCACCCUGCAUCCCACUGCUGGCUUGCCUCUGAAGCUAAGCAGGGUUGGUCACUGGAUAGGAGACCAGAUGCUGCUAGAA
rnacentral:rRNA from 1 species